GGGGGUGUAGCUCAGUGGGAGAGCACCUGUUUCACAUGCAGAAGGUCCCAGGUUCGAGCCCCGGCAACUCCA